UGUCUAUGUUUGGGGGGCUUACUCAG
rnacentral:piRNA from 1 species